AAUGUCUGCAACGUUAGUUCAGAUUCGACAAUCGUGCAAAAGUUUCGUAUUAUAGUUUCGUAAAGUUUAGAAGAAAAAAAAAAAAAUGGAUUUCGAAAAUGAAAUUAGCUCAAGUGAAGAUGAACUUAAUUUUGAACUUGUUGAGAAACGAGAUUAAUUGUAUUCACGAAGGAAUUAGUGAUAGAGAAAAUUAAAGAGAGAUAGUGAUAUAAUUUUUCUGAAAUUCUUAGUACCUCAAAAUUUACAGCUUUAUUUUUCGAUAUACUCAUUUAAAUGAAAAUGAGUUUCAUCGUUCAUUAUCAAGUUGUUCAAAAAAUUGUUAUUAUCUCUGGCUAGAUGUUGAAAUCGAAUGGCGUAUCGCAAGUGAGUGAAUUUCUUGGGAUAAUAAAGUUUGGAUCUUGUAUGGAAACAUUUUUAAAUCCAAUUUUAGAAUCUUUUGAAGUAAUGUUCUGACGAUGUCUAGUUGAGCAAAGCGACGACAGAUGGAUCCUCAACAGUGUCUUAAUUAAGUUUUCAUCAUUGUGUCAAUGCGCUUAGGAUCUCUUUCGAUUAAUUUACUUCUUUCUCAAUUGGUUCUGAAUUACGUUAUUGCUAGGAAAUACUCUGAUAUUAAAAUGUUGCCGAUAUUUUCUCUGAGAUUCAAAAAUUGAUCUUUCAUUGGAAUAGAAAAACUUAAUGAGUUUUUCUCGUUGCUGGACAUCGUACGUAGCCAUUUUAAUCUUCAAAGGAUGCUGUAUA